rnacentral:lncRNA from 1 species
UUUUAAAUAUCAAGUUUCUUUAUGAGCAUCAGGCGCGACGUGAAUGGAGAGUGGUUGGAUUGGUAAAGGCUUGAGGCCUUCAUUUUCUUGAAUGAAGAGAUUGAGAAGGUUAUGGGAAGAUAGUUGAGAGGGCUGGAUGUUCAUUGUACUUCCCUAAGAAAUUUAGGAUUUCUGCAUUCACACAUGCAAAAUAUUAUUCAUUAUUGAAGAAGUUAUUUGAUAAUAAGUAAUGACAAUGUUAAAAAUGCAUGCUUGGUAGUUUAGUGAUGCCGUUUUGUCCAUUGUUGCAUUUGGACCUGCAUAGGAAGCUAGUAAUUGUAAAAAAUGCAUGCUUGGUAGUUAGUGAUGGCGUUUUGUCCAAUGUUGCAUUUGGACCUGCAUAGGAAGCUAGUAAGUACAACUACUACAAAAAUUCCAAGUAGCCUCGUUACAGUAUUAUAUGGAAAGUGAAUACCAUACUGGUCUAUCAGACUUGAUAGGUUCAAAAUCUACUGUGUCACAGUUUGGG